rnacentral:lncRNA from 1 species
AAAUACUUCACCAAGUGUCUUGUCUUUUAUGGAAAGUUGGAAGUAAAUGCUGGUCGACAAUAUAUUCUACAACAUAAUAUGGAUUACACAAAAAUUACACCUUCCCUACGAUAAGGUUCCAGUACUUUGAGAAGCAUCUCAGGCACUACAGAGUCACCAAUACGGGGUGAUUCAAUCAUGUGAUUACGAAGAUCUCCAGCUGUUGGAUUUCCAGGAACUUGGUAGUUCGUGUCAUCUGUGGUUGUACUCCAUGCAUUAAACCAUGAUGGCUUCACACCUAACUGUAAGAUGGUACGUAAUGCCUGCAGUAGAAGAAGUUCCAGGAACUUGGUAGUUCGUGUCAUCUGAGGUUGUACUCCAUGCAUUAAACCAUGAUGGCUUCACACCUAACUGUAAGAUGGUACGUAAUGCCUGCAGUAGAAGAAAUCCACUUAAAUAUGAAAUAUUUGUUUUACCGAAAACAAAGCCACAUGAUUU